GAUUCUUCUUUUUACGUCUGGUAUUCAGACUGCCCACUCUAUCUUUCCUCUCUCCCUCACGUUUCCUCUUAGACACACCCACACACUACACUCUCUCACACGUUACUCUGACAGGAUAAAGAAAGAAACAAAAACAAGAAAUAAAGGGACACGCCUCUUCUUCUUAAAAAAAGAUCACUCUCACUCACCUCACUACCACUCACUCUCUCUGUGAAAAGAAAAAAGGAAAAGAAAAAAGGAAAAGAAAAGAACUUCUCCUUCCUCAUAAACCAUCACCGGCGACAAUCCACGCCGCAAAACCAACUCGCCGCCAAAUCGCCGAUCGCACCCGUUGUCUACACCCUUAUUCCUCCGCCGUUCCGUUUUCGACAAACACAAACAACCCCAACUUUCACCAUUAAGCAAUCUCCGGCCACCAUUUUCAACUGUCGGCACCAUCUAUACAAUUGUGAUACACAAAAACUUCCGCCGAAACCGAACACAACAACAACACGCUCACAACGACACGACCAUCGACCAUUCUACCGCCACCAUAACGUCGCCGAGCAAGCCGAAACUUGACAUUCCUAUCAGAGUUUUGGUAUGAUCUAUAGCACACAAGAGCCUCACUGUUGCACUAUUUGAACAACAUCUUUUUCGGGUGGUUGGUGUUACAAAGGGAGAAUCCCUUAUAUUCAUUGGAAAAUACACGUUAUCAUGAACCUGUUAACUUUAUUAUUGUUA